rnacentral:ncRNA from 1 species
GUUAUAGUGCCAGAGUAGACGCUCAUCAGACGCCACAAAAGGCGUUGGUACAUCUUGACAGCAGGGCGGUGGCCAUGGAAGUCGGAAUGCGCCAAGGACUGUGUAGCAACUCGCCUGCCGAAUGUACUAGCCCUGACAAUCGAGCAUGUGUUAGAGCUGUAUUGGAAC